UUAACUUCUCUUUCUUAUCUCCUCACUGUCGUCUCUCUCCUGUUUUCUGGCGAGCGUCGCCGGCCCUCGCCGCCUCCGGCGUGGCGAGGCCGGCGCCUGUCCUUCCUCCUCCUUCCUCCCUCUUUUCCCUAUAUCUAAAUCCCCAAUUCAGAAAUCAAAAUCCUAGGGUUUCUACCUCUCUUCACCCCCUCUGGAAUUCGUCUCUCCGGCGAAGCCUGCCGCCCCGCCGUCGUCUCUGUCACGCCGCCGCCUCUUCUGACUCAGGAACCGAGGUUUCAAGGGAUUGCUCAAGACUCCAUUUUUAUGAGUUAUAAGUCUGUUUCCUUUUUAUUGCUUAUUGAGAAACAACUGUAUUCGUGAGACUAGAACUGUAUAUGUGAGAUUAGAAUUAGAGAUAUGUAACUAUUGUUCAUCUUGGUUAUCGAUUACUGUUUUAGCAAAGAGAUAAUUGUACUGAAUAAAGAAAACUACCUUCUCUGA